rnacentral:sRNA from 1 species
UAUCUCUCCGUACGGGGAAGGAUGAGAAGCUUCGACUAAGGUUCGAUUCGAGCGAAAGCGAGAGAACGUUGCCAACGGCAACGUCCCGAAGGGCGAAGCGCGCAGCGCUGAGUCAUCCUUCCCCCACCACCA